rnacentral:rRNA from 1 species
GAUCAUGGCUCAGGAUGAACGCUAGCUACAGGCUUAACACAUGCAAGUCGAGGGGAAACGACAUCGGAAGCUUGCUUUUGAUGGGCGUCGACCGGCGCACGGGUGAGUAACGCGUAUCCAACCUGCCACCACUUGGGAAUAACCUUGCGAAAGUAAGACUAAUGCCCAAUGACAUUUAUAGAAGGCAUCUGAAAUGAAUUAAAGAUUUAUCGGUGAUGGAUGGGGAUGCGUCUGAUUAGCUUGUUGGCGGGGUAACGGCCCACCAAGGCGACGAUCAGUAGGGGUUCUGAGAGGAAGGUCCCCCACAUUGGAACUGAGACACGGUCCAAACUCCUACGGGAGGCAGCAGUGAGGAAUAUUGGUCAAUGGGCGGAAGCCUGAACCAGCCAAGUAGCGUGCAGGAAGACGGCCCUAUGGGUUGUAAACUGCUUUCAGUCGGGAAUAACUCGUCGGUCGUGACCGGCGUUGCAGGUACCGUCAUAAGAAGGACCGGCUAAUUCCGUG